UUAUUAUUUUUUAGGUUCCCCCCGGCCGCCCCGCAAAGUGAACACUGGCUCUCACGUAAGAUCCAGGAGUCUCCGCAGUUUGGAACCCAACACCACAUUUCCUAGAAUACUUGACGCCCUCGCAGGCCUCCUCUGGCUAUAAUGGAAAGGGGAUAUGCCUGGGAACUGUGCUGCUAAUAGAAGGAAGCAGAAUGUCUGUUUUCCACUAACGGCUCCUGAUUGGGGUUUGUUAUGCCCAGUCUGAAUUGGCCUGGAACUUGGCCGCGGCUCUGGCCACCCCGGGGUAAGGCGGGGGACCCAGCAGAGGCGGCUGCACCGCAAGGUUAUAGCGCUGAGCCGCUCCACGCUCUGGAAGGAGCGCGGGAGAUGCCGUGGUUGGUAAAGGCUGCUCGGCGCUAGUCAGAUGAGGCCCAUCUGCAGAUCCAUCUUCGGGUGUACAGUCUUUGGAUCCUCUUCUCAGCUCUGAAGAGGCGGUUCCAGCAGUCUGGUAGCUCGGGUGAACUGGGUUUAGCCCUUGUCACCGCUCGGAACGGGGCGUCCCGGGACUCCCAGUCCUUUGAGGUCUUGCUCAGGACUACAUUUCCCAAAAGGCUCCGCGGUGAUUGAAAGCUCUAUCAGCCUAUGGACGGGGGAGACUUCUCGUCCCUGAAACUGAGACGCCAAUGGCAAGAGGACGGGGCGGUAUUUUCCGGCUGCUGGCUGUCUUGUCCAGAGUCCCACCUGUGUCCCCACAGCCCUGUCACGAAUCCCAGUCGGGUUCUGGGCGGGACUACCACGGCGUUGCGGGCCGGGUGCGGCUCGGCGGUGGAGGACUCUCACUUCGUGCUCCAUCCCGGUCUGGGCCCCGGGGCGUGUCUUGCUGUAGGAACUGAUGAUGUGGCUGGGGACUUCAGGGACGAGUGGAUUAUCUGGACACUGUUUAGAGAGUCCUCUUCAGGGAUACCACCCAGCACAGUUAGAAGAGUGGGCUCUCAAAGGCUCAAGACCCUGAGACUCAAAGUUAAGUGGCAGAGGAUUUCUAGACCAAGUGCAAUCUCCCAGCUAGAGCAGAAGGAAGAGCCAUGGGUCCUACCACUCCAAAAUUUUGAGGCGAUGAAGACCCUGAGGGAAAGUCACACAGACUUUAAGAAUCAGGUGGUAAAACUCAAUCAGGACAUUUCUGAAACAGCAGAACAAUGUGGAACAUCCUCAGAAAGGGCCAAGAAAGAUAUUUCUCAUACUCCUCGUUGGGGAGGAAACUGGGAGAGGGGUCUUGAAUUAGAAGGGCAGCAUGGAACCCUUCUAGGCGAGGGCCAGCAGGAGCCCUUUUCACAGGAGAAGGAAUUAAACAAGCUCCUGGAAGGAUAUAUAGGAAAGAAGCCGGUGUGUGCAGAAUGUGGAAAAAGUUUUAACCAGAGUUCCUAUCUCAUAAGACACCUAAGAACCCAUACCGGUGAGAGGCCUUAUAAAUGCAUGGAGUGUGGGAAAGGCUUCAAACAGAGUUCAGACCUUGUCACCCACCGCAGAACACACACAGGGGAGAAACCCUACCAAUGCCAUGGAUGUGAGAAAAAAUUCAGCGACAGCUCAACCCUCAUCAAACAUCGGAGAACCCACACAGGUGAGAAACCCCAUGAGUGCCCAGAGUGUGGGAAGACUUUUGGACGGAAACCACACCUCAUAAUGCACCAAAGAACCCACACAGGAGAGAAGCCCUACACGUGCCUCGAGUGUCAUAAAAGCUUUAGUCGCAGCUCCAAUUUCAUCACCCACCAGAGGACCCACACGGGAGUGAAGCCUUACAGGUGUAAUGACUGUGGGGAGAAUUUCAGCCAGAGCUCGGAUUUGAUUAAGCACCAGCGAACCCACACAGGAGAACGGCCCUUUAAGUGCCCGGAGUGCGGGAAGGGCUUUAGAGAUAGUUCCCAUUUUGUGGCUCACAUGAGCACUCACUCAGGAGAAAGGCCGUUCAGUUGUCCUUACUGCCACAAAAGUUUCAGUCAGAGCUCUCAUCUGCUCACGCACCAGAGGACACACACAGGUGAGAGGCCUUUUCAGUGUGACAGCUGUGGGAAAGGAUUUGCCGACAGCUCUGCCCUCAUCAAGCACCAACGGAUCCACACAGGAGAAAGACCCUAUAAAUGUGGCGAGUGUGGGAAAAGCUUCAAUCAGAGCUCCCACUUUAUUACCCAUCAACGAAUCCACUUAGGAGACAGACCCUAUCGCUGUCCUGAGUGUGGCAAAACCUUCAAUCAGCGUUCCCAUUUUCUCACACACCAGAGAACACAUACGGGAGAAAAACCGUUUCACUGUAGUAAAUGUGACAAGAGCUUCCGACAGAAGGCACACCUUUUAUGCCAUGAGAACACCCAUUUGACCUAGGAAAUAGUCUUUAAUGGUUCUUCUCCUCCCUUCCAAAUUUCCAUUGCUAUUAUCUUUAAGCACUCCAAAUAGAGAAAACCUGAAACUGGGUGUCGGCAGCUCAGGUUGGGCCCUGAUCUGUUCUCUUUUUCCGUGCUUUAAGGGCGAGGAUAAACCUACAGGGUCCAAAUAAUGUUCUAAACACAAAAGGCAUUGCUUCAGUGUUUUUGACUGACUCUUAGACAGAAAAAUGUGAGUUUAAUGCUUGAUGCCUGGUUACUAAAAGAGAAGUGAGAUAAAUGUAGUCACAUUCUCAUCAUUAAUGAUUCAUAUUUGAGAUCUUAUACAAAGCCCUUGAUACAAUGCCUGGCCUUUAAAAGACACUCAAUACAGGGUUGGUUGCUUUUAUCAGCCUUAUUACUCAAUAAGGAAUUUAUUAUUGCAGCCCCACAAGCCCAGAACUUGCAAGAAAUUAGACUGGAACUAGAAGAUUCAGGGUGUGAACACAUAGAUUUAAUGAAACAGAAAACACUCUCUUAAUCCAGUGCUAUGCAGUCACCAGAUGUCUCAUUGCCAUGACAAGGCAGAAUUAUCAUAGAGGAUGUCUGCAGUCUUGUGACUUGGAGACUAGAAGAAUUUUAGAAGCUCUUUGUACAGCAGUGUAUGAGGUACUCCCUCUGGAGGUUUGCUGCCAUCUGAGGCAUAGAAAAUAUCCUGUGAUGAACAGCCCAGAGGAACCUGGGUGAGGACUGUAAAAUUGUGGAAGCAAAGUUGCUGAGAAUGUUAAAUGAUAUUGCAGGGAUCCUUCCUGGCAUUUAGCUGAAGUAUGUAACCCUUGUUUUGUAAUUUGCUGGGUCACUGGCCCUUUAGUUUUAAGUUAAGUCUCUGAUCCUUUUAGGGUCAUUCAUUUUAUGCACUAGUAUAGUCCUCUAUUUAAUUGAAGAAAUGGAGGGAAGGCAGUGUGUUGGAAGGCACACCGACUUCGAUGAGAAGGUGAGGUGUUUGUGUCUUGGCCCCUUGACACCUAAUUUGGCCAGACUUUUCCCUUCUCUCAGGCCCUACCUUACUUACCUCACAAGGUUAUUGUGAGGAUCUGAUACAUACACACGCACAUGCACAUACACACAAGCACUUUGUUGUUAAACUAUAAAGUGUAAUACCUGUAAAGUUUAAUGUUACGGUAUUGUUGCCAAUGUCUUUUCUUCUAAGGAGCUGUGGCUAAUGUUUCCGAAGGUGUCCCACUUUCUCUCAUAUUGAGGGACUUCUUUUUUUACCUAUUGAAAACCUAAGGCCUUCAAAUGCUCAACUCAUUAUGUGACUCAUUACGGGUCACGUGAUGAACUAACGGAAGAGCCAGGAUCUCUCUGCAGGUCUCCUCUUCAACAACAUGGAACAGACCAGCUCUGGGAUUUGUUAGAGUGUCUCUGAGACACCACAGGCCUGGAGGACCCAUAUUAUAUCCAUCAAACCACUCUGAAUUUGGAAAUGAUGGAGGGAUGUAGCCUAAGUUCCCGAGAGCUUUAUAGAGUCCUGUGCUGGGGUCCUCUAUCCUCAUGGCAGAUGUAUUUCUGUGUAUUUUGGUAUGUCUCCUUGCGUACAUGUGUAGGAGUUUCUCUGGGUAUACGUACCUAGAAGUGAAAUUCUGAAGU